UUUUAUGGAGAGUUUGAUCCUGGCUCAGAGUGAACGCUGGCGGCGUGCCUAAUACAUGCAAGUCGAACGAUGAAGCUUCUAGCUUGCUAGAAGUGGAUUAGUGGCGCACGGGUGAGUAACGCAUAGGUCAUGUGCCUCUUAGUUUGGGAUAGCCAUUGGAAACGAUGAUUAAUACCAGAUACUCCCUACGGGGGAAAGAUUUAUCGCUAAGAGAUCAGCCUAUGUCCUAUCAGCUUGUUGGUAAGGUAAUGGCUUACCAAGGCUAUGACGGGUAUCCGGCCUGAGAGGGUGAACGGACACACUGGAACUGAGACACGGUCCAGACUCCUACGGGAGGCAGCAGUAGGGAAUAUUGCUCAAUGGGGGAAACCCUGAAGCAGCAACGCCGCGUGGAGGAUGAAGGUUUUAGGAUUGUAAACUCCUUUUGUUAGAGAAGAUAAUGACGGUAUCUAACGAAUAAGCACCGGCUAACUCCGUGCCAGCAGCCGCGGUAAUACGGAGGGUGCAAGCGUUACUCGGAAUCACUGGGCGUAAAGAGCGCGUAGGCGGGAUAGUCAGUCAGGUGUGAAAUCCUAUGGCUUAACCAUAGAACUGCAUUUGAAACUACUAUUCUAGAGUGUGGGAGAGGUAGGUGGAAUUCUUGGUGUAGGGGUAAAAUCCGUAGAGAUCAAGAGGAAUACUCAUUGCGAAGGCGACCUGCUGGAACAUUACUGACGCUGAUUGCGCGAAAGCGUGGGGAGCAAACAGGAUUAGAUACCCUGGUAGUCCACGCCCUAAACGAUGGAUGCUAGUUGUUGGAGGGCUUAGUCUCUCCAGUAAUGCAGCUAACGCAUUAAGCAUCCCGCCUGGGGAGUACGGUCGCAAGAUUAAAACUCAAAGGAAUAGACGGGGACCCGCACAAGCGGUGGAGCAUGUGGUUUAAUUCGAAGAUACACGAAGAACCUUACCUAGGCUUGACAUUGAGAGAAUCCGCUAGAAAUAGUGGAAUGUCUAGCUUGCUAGACCUUGAAAACAGGUGCUGCACGGCUGUCGUCAGCUCGUGUCGUGAGAUGUUGGGUUAAGUCCCGCAACGAGCGCAACCCCCUUUCUUAGUUGCUAACAGGUCAUGCUGAGAACUCUAAGGAUACUGCCUCCGUAAGGAGGAGGAAGGUGGGGACGACGUCAAGUCAUCAUGGCCCUUACGCCUAGGGCUACACACGUGCUACAAUGGGGUGCACAAAGAGAAGCAAUACUGCGAAGUGGAGCCAAUCUUCAAAACGCCUCUCAGUUCGGAUUGUAGGCUGCAACUCGCCUGCAUGAAGCUGGAAUCGCUAGUAAUCGCAAAUCAGCCAUGUUGCGGUGAAUACGUUCCCGGGUCUUGUACUCACCGCCCGUCACACCAUGGGAGUUGUGUUUGCCUUAAGUCAGGAUGCUAAAUUGGCUACUGCCCACGGCACACACAGCGACUGGGGUGAAGUCGUAACAAGGUAACCGUAGGUGAACCUGCGGUUGGAUCACCUCCUUUCUA
rnacentral:rRNA from 1 species